UGAACGCUGGCGGCGUGCCUAACACAUGCAAGUCGAACGAGAACUCCCGGGGCUUGCCUCGGGACAGUAAAGUGGCGCACUGGUGAGUAACGCGUGGGUAAUCUACCCCAAAAUCAGGGAUAACAUUGCGAAAGCGAUGCUAAUACCUGAUAAUGACAAACUGGCUCUGGCCGAUUUGUCCGAAGGUGGCCUCUACAAGUAAGCUACCGUUUUGGGAUGAGCCCGCGUACCAUUAGCUUGUUGGCGGGGUAACGGCCCACCAAGGCGACGAUGGUUAGCUGGUCUGAGAGGGUGAUCAGCCACACCGGAACUGGAACACGGUCCGGACUCCUACGGGAGGCAGCAGUGAGGAAUUUUGCGCAAUGGGGGAAACCCGGACGCAGCAACGCCGCGUGAGUGAUGAAGGCUUUCGGGUCGUAAAGCUCUGUCAGGUGGGAAGAAUCCGAGAACGGCCAAUACCCGUUUUCGUUGACGGUACCACCGGAGGAAGCACCGGCUAACUCC
rnacentral:rRNA from 1 species